AUACGGAGGACGCGAGCGUUAUCCGGAUUCAUUGGGUUUAAAGGGUGCGCAGGCGGCCGUGCAAGUCAGCGGUGAAAGUCCGGGGCUCAACCCCGGAAGUGCCGUUGAUACUGCAUGGCUGGAAUGCGGUCGAGGCGGGCGGGACGUGGCGUGUAGCGGGGAAAAGCGUAGAUAUGCCACAGAACGCCGAUAGCGGAGACAGCUCGCCAGGCCUGCAUUGACGCUCGGGCACGAAAGCGUGGGGAUCGAACAGGAUUAGAUACCCUGGUAGUCCACGCCGUAAACGAUGGGCGCUCGUCGUCGGCGGCAGACAGUCGGCGGCCAAGCGAAAGCGAUAAGCGCCCCACCUGGGGAGUACGGUCGCAAGGCUGAAACUCAAAUGAAUUGACGGGG
rnacentral:rRNA from 1 species